rnacentral:lncRNA from 1 species
AAUGCUGAUCAGCUGGGCUGAAGAAUCAGCUGUGAUUCACUGAAGUCAAAUCUCCUGGGAAGUGUUUCCUCAGAAGCCGUGCUCCAGAGGUGGCCAAGGUUGAACCUCAUGCCGGCAGCCGAACUUGGUUGCGUAAGAGUGACCCAGCUGAUAACUGCUUUAAAGGUAUAAAGGGAUCAUGGACAGCAGCUGAGGCUUGACCCUGUGUGGCAGGCCUGGAGUCCCUGAAAAGAGCCCAGGAGAGGUUAAAGGUGAAAGUGCAGCCCAGCUCCUGUAGAAGAGUCCAGCAUUUUGGAGAUGCCAGUACCAGGGGACAACCUCCAAGAACAGCAGCAGGUGUGGAGUGGAGCCAGCCUGAGCCUAGAAGACAUGUUCUGUGUGCUACAGAGGACAGAGCCAGAGAAGUGACCAGGCCCUUUGGAGGAGCUCAGAAGAUCAGGAGAGACGUCCAGACAUUGGAGGCUGAGUCAUUUACUGUUGGAACUUGGUUUUGCUUUGCUCAGGCUAUCUGUGGGCUGGUUCUUCUCUCUUGAGGUAAUAAAGUAACUUAUAUUUUAUUUUACAGGAGCAAAUUUGAAUAUUUUAAAGAGACUUUGGACUUUUACUAUUUGAAUUUUAUUUAUUUAUUUCAU